rnacentral:rRNA from 1 species
UGACAGUGCCGUAAUCAGAUGAUUCGGCUACUGAAUUGAGAACGAUGAAAGAAUGUUAUCGAAUAUCUAUUGGAGGGCAAGUCUGGUGCCAGCAGCCGCGGUAAUUCCAGCUCGAAGAGCGUCUGUUAAUGUUGCUGCGCUUGAAACGCUCGUCGUUGAAUCUCUGGCAAUUGCCUACGGACACUUCUAUUGUGGUACCGUAGGAAAGUGCCUUUUUGUAUCUAUUCGUCGUUGAUUCACUUAAUUGUGUGUCACGUUCGAGAGCCACUUUCACUUUGGAGAAAUCAGUGUGCUCAUAACAGGCUUAUGCCUGCAUAUAACUGCAUGGGAUGAUGAAACUGGGCCUUUGACUCGUUUCGUUGGUUUACGAUUGCAAAGGCCAUGAUUAAUCGGGACAGACGGGGGCAUUCGUAUUGCGUCGAUAGAAGUGAAAUUCGGUGACCGACGUAAGACGAACAAUCGCGAAAGCAUUUGCCAAGAAUGUUUUCAUUAAUCAAGAACGAAAGUUAGAGUAUCGAAGACGAUUAGAUACCGUCCUAGUUCUAACUGUAAACGAUGCCAACCAGGGUUUCGUCAUAGCUUAUAUGCUUGACGAGCACCCUCCGGGAAACCUGAGUAAUCGGGUUCCGGGGGGAGUAUGGUUGCAGAAUCGAAACUUAAAGGAAUUGACGGAAGGGCACACCAGGAGUGGAGCCUGCGGCUUAAUUUGACUCAACGCACGAUAGCCGACUCGGUCCGAACACUUGAAGGAUUGACAGACUGAAAGCUCUUUCUUGAUUUAGUGGGUAGCGGUGCAUGGCCGUUCUUAGUUGGUGGAGA